UCUAUCGACGGAGUGGCGUUUUAUUGUGAAAGUUCCAUUGCAGUGAGAGGAAGUAGAGUUAAGUGAGUGGGGGACGCUUGACAGCGGGGUAAAAAAAAAAAAGUUACAAACAAAUAUGUAGUUGAUGUGCUCAGAUUAUCCACUCGACAGUCUUAAUCAGGACGUUGCCUCUACAUAGUCUUUGCGGUCAACCGGAGGCGUUUCUACACGAAGUGUCCAACACCUUUGUUCACGUGUUGGUAUUAGCUUCAUUAGUGUAUUAGCUCAUUAGCUUACGGUGUUUAUUUCAUUAGCAUUCAUUAGCAAAGUGAAUGGACUCAUAGCCACCGCAUAGCUAACACCCAGCUAGCUCUGAAGGCUUUAGCUCAUCGUUUUUCGACGUGGACACCGUGAGGAUUUGUGAGACUGUGAUUGGGCUGUCCAGCAGCCACUCGCCCCGCGGGAGAGACCACGCCCUCUCUGGACAUCGGUCCGCCGAGACGGGUGACGUCAACAGCUGCCGGGGCCUCGCCAUCUCUGGACACCGGCCUCCCCAUGUUCUUCAUCCGACGGAGAGACUCUUCAGAUGGGACUCACAACUGAACUAAGGUGGCGCCAUUGCUCUUUGAGAAAAAGAAAAGCUCAGCUUCUUGUGGAGGCGGUGAAGAGAAGAGUGGGUGGAGAAAGUGUCUGCAGAGGUUUUAUUUCACGGCGGAUCGUCUGUACACCAGUGUGAGCAGCGGCAAAGCUGUCGCAUCCAAUCAGAAGUGAAGUCACCGAUGUCUGACUACAGGACACACACAGAUCUAUGACCCUGAUGGAAAGUGUCCGAGAGUCGAAGGAGCGAACAUCUGAGCGGACACAGUGGACUGUACAUCCGUGCAGAGCAGGAGCCGAGAGGAGCGAUCAUUCCUCCCCCAUGAGGAGUCCAAGUGUCCGGGAGGAGCCGAGGCUCAUUCAAGACUUUUGUUGCCCCCACACAAAAAAUAAAGAUGAUGCGUGACUGUAACACCGUCAGGCCGGAGGACAGGCCUGUGAACAGAGGGGGACGACCCUCCCUUUGUGCCCGUCCGACACUUUAAGCUGCACAGAUUCUGUUUCUCUGGCCAGGGCCGGCGUCUGAGAAAGUAAACUCGGGGUGACCCCUCGGUUCGGGACACAAGCGGGGAUCCUCCCGACUCAGGGAGCCGCCACGCUCACGCAUCUCCAAAAGGAGGGAGGGGUGGAUCACUUGUGUCUCGCCAGUGUCGGCUGCAUUCUUGACCCCGCCCGGAGCUGGUUAAACAUCGCGGACGCUUCUCCCCUUUUGUCGCCGGAGAAUCAAGACAGCAACCUGAUGUUGCCACCAGAGAAUCUGUGGCCCCGGGAAGCCGGCGGAGUAAAGCUCAUUACCACACAAGACACCUUCUCCCCCCCGGUCGGAGCUAAAGGGUGAUGCUGAGUUAUAAACCUGAUGACUUCUUCCCAGUGAAACAAAAACAACCGAGGACACGUUUGGCCGGCUGCCGGACAGAGAGGAACCCUCGCCCUAAGAGAGCGAUAUCACUACGUCUCAUUGGCACUUCCGACCCGAUCACCAUCACCAGCUGCAGCAGCACAAAGGAACAUGCCUGUGCACAUUAAAUUAAAUCUGCGUGAUAGAAACUGUAAUCUCACACUUGAGAGGAGCUGCACUAUGCACAGGAGCAGGAGCAAGACGCACUCUGACAGACGAGCAGAGGUGCACCUGUCUGUCUCUUUGCAUAAACACACUUGGCUCUUUACGCUCACUGAGCUCCUGCCCGGACCUCUCCCUCGCCCCGAGCUGCACGCGGCCCCGCGGCCAACUCACUCCUCUGCCUCCCACAUCUAAUAUCACAAGGAUCAUCCUUUUAACUAUUCAACAAUUGCCCUUCAGAGUCUUCAACAAAGUUCAGCAUUUCCCCUCGAAUGGGACAUUGGAUACACAUCAGGUCGACCCCUCAAUGACCCCUCAAAGUCUGGGAGCAUUAAAGGGCGUAAGCCUGCUAGGUUUUGGGGGUAAGACCAAACUCGAGUCCAGACUGGGCCUCACAGAGGCACCAUGUUCUAACACUCAUCCAGUUCAGGCCAAAUAACUUUUAAAAAAGCAACUUCCAAACACAAACGCUGCAUGUGUGGAUGACCCCGGGAUGGAAGUUGGCAGCCUGGUCUUGAGAUAAGCAUUAGUCUGACUGACUAGAAACACUUAAUCAUUUAAAAUACAGGCUGAGGCAAAGGUUUGUCCAGCUACUGUCUUUUCUCAAGAGCCGUCCCCACUAUUGUUCCUCCGGUACCUUCACUGGCCUGUUACCAACACUCUCUCCCUUUUAAAGACCAGACAGGCCUGAAUCUGGACGUGAGGCCCGGAGCUCACUGACAAUACUAAUUGUUUUUGGGGAUUUGCCAUCGGAUUUGUGAUUUGCCGUUGUGUUUUGUGAUUUGCCUUGUUUUAUGAUUCCACUGUGUAUUUUGUGAUUUGCUGUUGUUUUGUGAUUUGUCGUUGUUUUUUGAUUUUCAAGUUGCACGGAGUCAAUGGCAAGUAUAUUUCGAACUUUAUUAAUAAAAAAAAAUCUGCAUUUUGCUAUCUUUUCUUGACCUAAGAACUUCUUCACGGCCAAGUUGUAGGUCUUUC